CCUACGGGGGGCAGCAGUGAGGAAUAUUGGUCAAUGGGCUUACGCCUGAACCAGCCAAGUCGCGUGAGGGAAGACUGCCCUAUGGGUUGUAAACCUCUUUUGUCAGGGAGCAACGCCGGCUACGUGUAGCCGGACUGAGAGUACCUGAAGAAAAAGCAUCGGCUAACUCCGUGCCAGCAGCCGCGGUACUACGGAGGAUGCGAGCGUUAUCCGGAUUUAUUGGGUUUAAAGGGUGCGUAGGCGGAAUGCCAAGUCAGCGGUAAAAUCGCGGGGCUCAACCUCGCUCCGCCGUUGAAACUGGCGUGCUUGAGUGGGCGAGAAGUAUGCGGAAUGCGUGGUGUAGCGGUGAAAUGCAUAGAUAUCACGCAGAACUCCGAUUGCGAAGGCAGCAUACCGGCGCCCAACUGACGCUGAAGCACGAAAGCGUGGGUAUCGAACAGGAUUAGAUACCCCAGUAGUC
rnacentral:rRNA from 1 species